UACGUAGGGGGCUAGCGUUGUCCGGAUUUAUUGGGCGUAAAGAGCGUGUAGGCGGCCAGGUAGGUCUGCUGUGAAAACUCGAGGCUCAACCUCGAGAUGUCGGCGGAAACCAUCUGGCUAGAGUCCGGAAGAGGAGAGUGGAAUUCCUGGUGUAGCGGUGAAAUGCGCAGAUAUCAGGAAGAACACCCGUGGCGAGGGCGGCGCUCUGGGCCGGAACUGACGCUGAGGAGCGAAAGCGUGGGUAGCAAACAGG
rnacentral:rRNA from 1 species